UACCAGACUCCUACGGGAGGCAGCAGUGGGGGAUAUUGCACAAUGGGGGGAACCCUGAUGCAGCGACGCCGCGUGAGUGAAGAAGUAUUUCGGUAUGUAAAGCUCUAUCAGCAGGGAAGAAAAUGACGGUACCUGACUAAGAAGCCCCGGCUAACUACGUGCCAGCAGCCGCGGUAAUACGUAGGGGGCAAGCGUUAUCCGGAUUUACUGGGUGUAAAGGGAGCGUAGACGGCAUGGCAAGUCAGAUGUGAAAGCCCGGGGCUCAACCCCGGGACUGCAUUUGAAACUGUCAGGCUGGAGUGCAGGAGAGGUAAGUGGAAUUCCUAGUGUAGCGGUGAAAUGCGUAGAUAUUAGGAGGAACACCAGUGGCGAAGGCGGUCUGCUGGACAGUAACUGACGGUGAGGCGCGAAAGCGUGGGGAGCAAACAGGAUUAGAUACCCGUGUA
rnacentral:rRNA from 1 species